CCUACGGGAGGCUGCAGUGGGGAAUAUUGGACAAUGGGGGGAACCCUGAUCCAGCCAUGCCGCGUGUGUGAAGAAGGCCCUCGGGUUGUAAAGCACUUUCAGUGAGGAAGAACGCCUGGUGGUUAAUACCCAUCAGGAAAGACAUCACUCACAGAAGAAGCACCGGCUAACUCCGUGCCAGCAGCCGCGGUAAUACGGAGGGUGCGAGCGUUAAUCGGAAUUACUGGGCGUAAAGCGCGCGUAGGUGGCUUGAUAAGCCGGUUGUGAAAGCCCCGGGCUCAACCUGGGAACGGCAUCCGGAACUGUCAAGCUAGGGUGCGGGAGGGGAAGGUAGAAUACCCGGUGUAGCGGUGAAAUGCGUAGAGAUCGGGAGGAAUACCAGUGGCGAAGGCGGCCUUCUGGACUGACACUGACACUGAGGUGCGAAAGCGUGGGUAGCAAACAGGAUUAGAUACCCGGGUAGUC
rnacentral:rRNA from 1 species